AUUCCGCCGUUCAUCCUCUCAGUACAAGCCGAAUUAAGGUGAAACCGCGAAAGGCUCAUUAAAUCAGUUAUGGUUCCUUAGAUCGUACUCACAUUUACUUGGAUAACUGUGGUAAUUCUAGAGCUAAUACAUGCAAACAGAGCUCCGACCGGAGACGGAAGGAGCGCUUUUAUUAGAUCAAAACCAAUCGGUGGCGGGUUCGCGCCCGUCAUCGUACAACUUGGUGACUCUGAAUAACUUUUCGCUGAUCGCACGGUCUCGCACCGGCGACGCAUCUUUCAAAUGUCUGCCUUAUCAACUGUCGAUGGUAGGUUCUGCGCCUACCAUGGUUGUAACGGGUAACGGGGAAUCAGGGUUCGAUUCCGGAGAGGGAGCCUGAGAAACGGCUACCACAUCCAAGGAAGGCAGCAGGCGCGCAAAUUACCCACUCCCGGCACGGGGAGGUAGUGACGAAAAAUAACGAUACGGGACUCAUCCGAGGCCCCGUAAUCGGAAUGAGUACACUCUAAACCCUUUAACGAGGAUCAAUUGGAGGGCAAGUCUGGUGCCAGCAGCCGCGGUAAUUCCAGCUCCAAUAGCGUAUAUUAAAGUUGUUGCGGUUAAAAAGCUCGUAGUCGAAUCUGUGUCCCGCGUCGCCGGUUCAUCGUCCGCGGUGUUAACUGGCGUUCCGCGGGACGUCCUGCCGGUGGGCUUAGCUCGCAAGGGCGGCCCAACUCAAUCCCGCCGCGGUGCUCUUCAUUGAGUGUCGAGGUGGGCCGGCACGUUUACUUUGAACAAAUUAGAGUGCUUAAAGCAGGCUAAAACUUCGCCUGAAUACUGUGUGCAUGGAAUAAUGGAAUAGGACCUCGGUUCUAUUUUGUUGGUUUUCGGAACCCCGAGGUAAUGAUUAAUAGAACGGAUGGGGGCAUUCGUAUUGCGACGUUAGAGGUGAAAUUCUUGAUCGUCGCAAGACGGACAGAAGCGAAAGCAUUUGCCAAAAACGCUUUCAUUGAUCAAGAACGAAAGUAGAGGUU
rnacentral:rRNA from 1 species